CAGCAGCCGCGGGAAAACGAAGGGUGCAAGCGUUAAUCGGAAUUACUGGGCGUAAAGCGCGCGUAGGUGGUUUGGUAAGAUGGAUGUGAAAUCCCCGGGCUCAACCUGGGAACUGCAUCCAUAACUGCCUGACUAGAGUACGGUAGAGGGUGGUGGAAUUUCCUGUGUAGCGGUGAAAUGCGUAGAUAUAGGAAGGAACACCAGUGGCGAAGGCGACCACCUGGACUGAUACUGACACUGAGGUGCGAAAGCGUGGGGAGCAAACAGGAUUAGAUACCCCGGUAGUCCCUGUCUCUUAUAC
rnacentral:rRNA from 1 species